UACGUAGGGUGCAAGCGUUAAUCGGAAUUACUGUGCGUAAAGCGUGCGCAGGCGGUUUUGUAAGUCUGUCGUGAAAUCCCCGGGCUCAACCUGGGAAUUGCGUUGGAGACUGCAAGGCUAGAAUCUGGCAGAGGGGGGUAGAAUUCCACGUGUAGCAGUGAAAUGCGUAGAGAUGUGGAGGAACACCGAUGGCGAAGGCAGCCCCCUGGGUCAAGAUUGACGCUCAUGCACGAAAGCGUGGGGAGCAAACAGG
rnacentral:rRNA from 1 species